AUGCACGCUGGCGGCGUGCCUAAUACCUGCCAGUCGCGCGAACAGACGAGGAGCUUGCUCCUCUGACGUUAGCGGCGGCCGGGUGAGUAACCCGUGGAUAACCUACCUAUAAGACUGGGAUAACUUCGGGAAACCGGAGCUAAUACCGGAAAAUAUAUUUAACCGCAUGGUUCAAUAGUGAAAGACGGUUUUGCUGUCACUUAUAGAUGGAUCCGCGCCGCAUUAGCUAGUUGGUAAGGUAACGGCUUACCAAGGCAACGAUGCGUAGCCGACCUGAGAGGGUGAUCGGCCACACUGGAACUGAGACACGGUCCAGACUCCUACGGGAGGCAGCAGUAGGGAAUCUUCCGCAAUGGGCGAAAGCCUGACGGAGCAACGCCGCGUGAGUGAUGAAGGUCUUCGGAUCGUAAAACUCUGUUAUUAGGGAAGAACAAAUGUGUAAGUAACUAUGCACGUCUUGACGGUACCUAAUCAGAAAGCCACGGCUAACUACGUG
rnacentral:rRNA from 1 species